rnacentral:rRNA from 1 species
AUUGAACGCUGGCGGCAGGCCUAACACAUGCAAGUCGAGCGGCAGCGGAAGGAAGCUUGCUCUUGGGUGACGAGUGGCGGACGGGUGAGUAAUGUCUGGGAAACUGCCCGAUGGAGGGGGAUAACUACUGGAAACGGUAGCUAAUACCGCAUAACGUCGCAAGACCAAAGUGGGGGACCUUCGGGCCUCACACCAUCGGAUGUGCCCAGAUGGGAUUAGCUAGUUGGUGAGGUAAUGGCUCACCAAGGCGACGAUCCCUAGCUGGUCUGAGAGGAUGACCAGCCACACUGGAACUGAGACACGGUCCAGACUCCUACGGGAGGCAGCAGUGGGGAAUAUUGCACAAUGGGCGCAAGCCUGAUGCAGCCAUGCCGCGUGUAUGAAGAAGGCCUUCGGGUUGUAAAGUACUUUCAGCGGGGAGGAAGGGAGUGAGGUUAAUAACCUCAUUCAUUGACGUUACCCGCAGAAGAAGCACCGGCUAACUCCGUGCCAGCAGCCGCAGUAAAAC